rnacentral:rRNA from 1 species
UUGGAGGGCAAGUCUGGUGCCAGCAGCCGCGGUAAUUCCAGCUCCAAUAGCGUAUAUUAAAGUUGUUGCAGUUAAAAAGCUCGUAGUUGAAUUUCGGGAUCAGAGUGUCGGUCGUGCCUCGGUACGCACUGGUAUUAUUGGUUCCUACCUUCUGAAGAACCGCGAUGUCAUUAAUUUGGUGUCGUGGGGAAUCAGGACUGUUACUUUGAAAAAAUUAGAGUGUUUAAAGCAGGCUUACGCUUGAAUACAUUAGCAUGGAAUAAUGAAAUAGGACGUUUGAUUCUAUUUUGUUGGUUUCUAGGAUUGACGUAAUGAUUAAUAGGGAUAGUUGGGGGCAUUAGUAUUCAAUUGUCAGAGGUGAAAUUCUUGGAUUUAUUGAAGACUAACUACUGCGAAAGCAUUUGCCAAGGAUGUUUUCAUUAAUCAAGAACGAAAGUUAGGGGAUCGAGGACGAUCAGAUACCGUCGUAGUCUUAACCAUAAACUAUGCCGACUAGGGAUCGGAUGAUGUUAAUUUUUUAAUGACUCAUUCGGCGCCUUACGGGAAAC